AGUUAGUCUAAAGUUGCAGAGAAGCUUAGACGUACACAUUGAAGCUGUGAAAAUAUUUAUCGUCCGAAUCGAGAUUUGUUGCAAAAAACAAUUACAAGUCAUGGAAAAACAUUCAGCAAUGGAUAUUCCAAGAAAUACUGAUGCCAGCAGGCCAACACAAAAGCAUAAAAAAACUCGUAAUAACAAACAAACCAAAGAGGUUGUGAGAAAACUCAAGUGUGAAAAGAAGAAGCAGAAGAAAAGACUGAGACUCCAGGAAACACUUGAGUCUCCAGAGCCUGCACCUACACAGACAUCUACCAGCACCCAGGACAACACCCCAGUGAGAGGACUGAAGAGAAAACGACAGGAAGACAAACAGGAAGAAGAAAUCAUUGAGCCAAAGAAGAGAAGGGUUUGUCUAAAAGCUCAUCAAAGCAGCAAAACCAUUUUUGAUGACCAAACCAGAUCAGUUGAGAGAAAGCCCAAACCGGAACCGAAGAAAAAAAAUAAAAAAGUCAAACACUGUAAACCAACCGAGUCUCCAGAAACUGACAUCAGUCAGAAGAACACCCCAGUGAGAGGACUAAAGAGGAAACGACUGGAAGACGAGGAGGAAGAAGCAACAGAGGAAUCAAAGAUAAUGAAGCUGUCUUUUAAGAGUUUCCACGAAUUGAGGGAUUUAUACAAUAAAAUGGGAAGUAAGUUCAAGUGAAUGAUAUUGGUUUAACACAAAAUUCUAUUUUUUUAAAUACAUCUGUCACUUUUACAAUAUCAUUCAGUUGUUUAUUUCAUGAAUACACUUAUUUGUUCGUUUUUGUUCACUUUAAAAAAUUAAAAUUAAUUCUUGAAACUUUGUGCUGCUUAAUGUGCUUGAAUGUGACCAUCAAACUGAUGUGUUUUGGUGUUUUGGUUUUGUCAUCAGCAAACAAAACAAGUGGACCGGAAAAGACCGUUUUAAAUAGUUCAGAAAAUGAAAACGAAUCAAACCAAGAAAUCCCAGAAAACACAAACAAAAUGACGGAGAGAGACAACGUGAUCGACCAAAAAGGUUAGAUGAUUUCAUAUACAUUUUCUUUUGAUUAUAUAGUUGAUUUGUGUAUAAAAUUUUCAGAAACAAAUGAACUAAUAUUACAAUUCUGUUUGCUUUUU
rnacentral:lncRNA from 1 species